GUGUUUCCCUCAAUAUUUUUCCCAAUAUCCAGUUCAGUAGAGAGCAUUGUGAAGGAAUUACAAUUUUUGUUUAUCCAAAUUUUAUGAAUUUUUUACAGUGCCUUAAUGUGCCCAAAUCAUCAUCCUCCUCCAAAUUUCAACUCAAUCCAAUCAUCUAUGUGAGCCCAGUUUCAAUUACCAUUUUCUGUCCAGAUUGGCACAUUGUGAAGGAAGUGUCACUUUGGCAUGUCCAAAUGGUAUAAUUUUUUUAUAGUGCC
rnacentral:lncRNA from 1 species